rnacentral:rRNA from 1 species
UUGACCUCGGAUCAGGUAGGAGUACCCGGUGA